AUAGAAAUGUCAAAAUAAUAGGGCAUGAUCCAGCUGGUAGAUAUUAUGAAAUUUUAUCGCUCCUAGCCAGUACUUUAGCCAGUACAACGAUGUAGUACAGUACCUUAGGUUUAUGCAAUUAUGCCUAUAAAUGUGAACUUUGGUGCCUAAGGAGAAGGGGGAGAGAGAGAGAAUUGAAAGAGGGUGGAUGGGUCCGACAGGAGUGACCUGAGAUCACAUGAGGGUGAAUCCAACUUGACCCCUUUGAUGCGGUUAUGUCCGGUCUUAUGGUGUGUUCCAUCAUGUGUUCUCAGGUCGCCCCUGCUGGACCUUCCUCCACCGUCCGAUCGACCAAAAUUUGACGCAUCUUGUCAUAUACCGACCUUGUGACAGGGCACUGGCGCCCCACUACAUUGAUAGGGUAAGAUUGCUCAAUGGAAACAUCAAACAUAUGGACGGAAUAUCUUUCGACCAUCAAAUCGUGUGAAAUCUUGGGAGAAAAAAGCGCCAAAACUGCUCAAAGAGGUCAUUGAUUGUAUAGAAAUGCAAUGGGUUCAAAACUAAGCAUUUGAAAGAAACUGAAAAAGAUGCAUCUACCUAGCAAGUAACCAUCUACUAAACAUCAGAGGUAGAGAGGAGAGAGAAAAGCUCGUUGUAGCUCAGCCUCGUCGUCUGGAGCCUGGAGCGCAAUCAGAUUCUCACUGAUCCGUCAACCGAUCUUUGGAACUUGGUCUCCGUGUUCUCGACUGAUCGAUAAAAAAUCUACUAAACAUCCAAUGUAAAAGAACCAAUACAACAGCAAUCCAUCUGUUGAAGCUGUUUUUUUUGUGGCAAAAAGUUACCCAGAUGAUCAAAAUGCAAAUUAGGCACACAACCAUCCAAAAUCCCCCCAAGAUUUCAAAACACGGCAGCUGGAUUUGUUGUGCCGUCUAUGCUAUUUCAUUCAAUCUCAAUAUGGAAAUGCAAUGCGGUGUCUCAAAAGAAAAUAUAUUAAGAGUACAAUGUAUACGACAUGCUGAUGUGACACUCCAUGAUUGGUAAUUGAAUAAAUAACUAUUUUGUAACAUA